rnacentral:sRNA from 2 species
GGGCAAGAGGUUCGACUCGAGCGAAGCGAGAGAACGUUGCGUCAGCAACGGCCCGCAGUGGCAAGUCAUCCUCUGUCACCGGCAG